GAAAGUCUGACGCAGCAACGCCGCGUGAGGGAUGACGGCCUUCGGGUUGUAAACCUCUUUAAACAGGGACGAAGCGAGAGUGACGGUACCUGCAGAAGAAGGACCGGCCAACUACGUGCCAGCAGCCGCGGUAAUACGUAGGGUCCGAGCGUUGUCCGGAAUUAUUGGGCGUAAAGGGCUCGUAGGCGGUUCGUCGCGUCGGGAGUGAAAACUCGGAGCUCAACUCCGAGCCUGCUUCCGAUACGGGCAGACUAGAGGUAGGCAGGGGAGAGCGGAACUCCUGGUGUAGCGGUGGAAUGCGCAGAUAUCAGGAAGAACACCGGUGGCGAAGGCGGCUCUCUGGGCCUUACCUGACGCUGAGGAGCGAAAGCGUGGGUAGCGAACAGGAUUAGAUACCCUGGUAGUCCACGCCGUAAACGUUGGGCGCUAGGUGUGGGGGACAUUCCACGUCCUCCGUGCCGCAGCUAACGCAUUAAGCGCCCCGCCUGGGGAGUACGGCCGCAAGGCUAAAACUCAAAGGAAUUGACGG
rnacentral:rRNA from 1 species